rnacentral:rRNA from 1 species
UACGUAGGGGGCUAGCGUUGUCCGGAAUCAUUGGGCGUAAAGCGCGCGUAGGCGGUCAGGUAAGUCCGGUGUGAAAGUCAAAGGCUCAACCUUUGAAUGCCGCUGGAUACUGCUUGACUUGAGUCCGGAAGGGGCGAGUGGAACUCCUGGUGUAGCGGUGGAAUGCGCAGAUAUCAGGAAGAACACCACGGCGAAGGCAGCUCGCUGGGACGGAACUGACGCUGAGGCGCGAAAGCGUGGGGGAGCGAACAGG